rnacentral:lncRNA from 1 species
GGAAACUGCAGCUGGACCUGGGGGAGGGGGGCUGAGGCGAUGUCCUGAGAGGCCCGGAAACUGGAAUUUUCCAUGAUGUGGGUAAAGGCUCUGUGUGACUCAGUAGAGUCUGGCACACAGUGUGUCAUUGGCCUCAGGGAAGAGCCCGGGACAGAGAGAAUCUGGGGCAGGGUCCUGGCAAGACAGCCCGCAUGUACAUCCCUUCCGGGGCCUCCCAUGUCCCGUACGGGUUGCCACGAGGACCAUGGGAACCGAGGAAGGGUAAGCAUCCGGGUAAGGGUAAGCAUCCGGGUCUGAUGUGUUUGCAGAAUGAGGGAGGGAGGCGAUGGGCACAACGGCGGAUAAGGGGGACCCAGAGGCAGACUCUG